CAGUAGCCGCGGGAAUACGUAGGGUGCAAGCGUUAUCCGGAAUUAUUGGGCGUAAAGAGCUCGUAGGCGGUUUGUCGCGUCUGCUGUGAAAACUGGAGGCUCAACCUCCAGCCUGCAGUGGGUACGGGCAAACUAGAGUGCGGUAGGGGAGAUUGGAAUUCCUGGUGUAGCGGUGGAAUGCGCAGAUAUCAGGAGGAACACCGAUGGCGAAGGCAGACCUCUGGGCCGUAACUGACGCUGAGGAGCGAAAGCAUGGGGAGCGAACAGGAUUAGAUACCCCGGUAGUCCCUGUCUCUUAUAA
rnacentral:rRNA from 1 species